CUGUUAUGAAUCUGCACCUAGAUGAAUUGAACUCAUGUCUGUACCUGUAUGGAGGCCUGAGGCUGGAUCUCUUUAAGGGAACUGUGUUCUUUGGACUUCUGAAUAACCAUGUAAGUUGAAGAUCUGGCCCCUGGCUGUUGUUUUGAGGAGACACACCAAGAAUUAAAUGGGCAUGGAGACUGAACUAUCCUCUGACUCUUCCAAGUCAAGAAUGAGACAUAUCGGUAGGGCAGUGUCGAGAAAGCCUGCACUGCUGCUGCUUGUGAUCUAUCUAAUCUGGAGGUAAGAAGAAAACUCUAAUCUUCCCAGUUGUCACUCUGGAAUCUUCUAUGAGCAUUUGGAACAUUUUUUUUAAAUGUUAAUAUUCAUUUGCUAAAAGUUUAUGGAACCAUUUAAGUCUCUUCAUACAUAAACAUUUAUCAUCUGUAGUUAAUAUUUUACUUUCUCUCUGACCAAAUGGAGGACCAUCUGUGACUAUACAUGAACCUUCUUAGACUUAGAAAAAAAAUACAGUUUUUCUACAGAGACUUCAUGUGAUCUGAGAUGUGUGUAAAACACACUUGCCUUUAUGUUCAUAAAACCCAAUUUAACUUCAGACAGUUCUCUCCUUUUUAAUUUGACUAACUGGAUAAAUGGCCAAGGGGGAAGUUUAACCUCUUACUUUUCCUGCUUUCAUUUUUUUCCAGGUCAUCUCAGGAUUCUGUCUUUAUCAUGGGCACCUGAUAAAGUAAAAAUAAAAGGGCUAUACUUGUUUUUAUUUUGUCACUGAAUGUCUUAGAGAUCCCUAUACAUUUUUUGCUAUACAUUAGUUCCUCAGACCUAUAUUCAGUAUGUUUGCAAGGAGCUUUUCAACUAAGGGAAUAGGAUCUUUACUCGCUUUUUCAGACAUAAAGGCUAUAAUAUGGAUAUUCUGAGAUCUGAUCAAUCUUUUGACAAAUUCUAGUCAUCCCUCAACAGUGAUAAUGUUCUGAUAUGUCUGUACUCUAAUUUCAAAUGAUUCCACUUUAAAUUUCAGUGUAGUUUGUUUGGCUGCCAAGAUUUGUGACCUGACCUGUUUUCUCAUUAAUUUGCAACCACACUAAUCUCCAUUCCCCAUAGUACUGCGAGUUCUCUUUUGUUUAAGUCUUGAAGGAGAUCCUACACAGAUAGCAAGCCUAGAUUUAGGGACAAUCAGGCUUGCCUCUCUAAAAUUCUCAGAUUGUAGUCUGAGAAGUUCUAUGGAGCCAGAAAGAGAAAACCCUAGUUCUUUACAAUAUUAAUGAUGCAUAAAAUGCUCCAAAUUUAAUGAUAAAAAAAGAAAUCAGGAAGUUGGUGAACCUGAGCUGUGCUGUGAUACAUCUGCUCUCUGCACUCAACUCUACCCUAAAACACUAUUUUUAUAUAAACACUUUGUAAAUAACCAUUACUUAUUUAAAAAAAAAUAAUAGAAAACGGGCAGUUUUUAAAAAUAAAUAUUUACCAUGCCACAGUACUGACCUUACCAUGGUAUUUCCUAUACUUAGUACGCAGUGAGGUAUUUAUAUAUUUACAUAAAUUGCCCAUUGCUAAUGUUUAUUGUUAAUGCUCUUCAUUUACAUAUAGGAAGGUAUAAGGAAAUCUCCUUCCAUAAUCAAAUAUUGACAGUACUGACAGUACAGUGAUAAUAGUCCCUUUAAACAAAAAAAUCAAUUUUAAAUUGAUAAUUCUCUGUUCUCUAUCUUUUCAAUCCAUUAAAAUACAGCUGCUGCACGCUACAGACAGAAGUUAAUGCUAUAUAAUUUAAACAAUAUGCCGAAAUGUACUGCUUAUUUUGAAAGAAAACUUAAAUGCAAUACAUUUUUUUGGUUUACUCUGAGGCAAGUAUAAAAUCUAGUAAUCUUCCAACCUGAUGACAUUAGAUUUAAGUUGCACCUCAGACAUGACCCUGAAAGAAAUCUUAUUACCGCUUCUAUUCAAAGUCUAAAAGACUUUAAUAUGCCUCCCUCUUCCCCCCCAAAUAGGGCCUAAUAUGGAUUGCUUUUGUGAACUGUGGUCUAAAACAGCUAUUAAAAGUGAAGCUGCACAAAGAGCAGCAUAUUUGGGACCAUUCCAGGCCCACCUACAGGGUAAUGCUAUUCUACUUGCAACAGCUGUUUACACUUACCUGACGUGCAGCAGGUGCAGGACAAAAGACUCAAACAACUCUGCACCUGCUGCCUCAAACUCUACUCAGGUAAAUCAGUAGAAAUGACCUUUUUGUGUCUGUCACCACAACAGAUGUUCAAUGGAAGACCAAGAUGGUCACACCCAUCUGCCUUUGGCUCGGUCUUUGCCCCACUUAGUCAAUCUGAUUAGACAAAUUGAACCGACUGACAUAAAGGCAACAGGUAGGAUGCAAGCCCUGUAAGAGAUGCAGUAGAAUGUUAUGAAAAUCAGAUGAAGUUCAUCAGUCAAAAGUUUGCUGAUUCUUGGCACCAGAAUUCUGAUGAUGUGCAAGUCUCCUCUUAACCUGAAGACUUCUGUAACUACAUAAUUGCCAGAACUUGCACACACUUUUCAUUUGUAACUGAUAUACAAACAUUAGUCAGCCUGUCUAAUCCAGGGGUUCUGCAACUUCAUUGCACUGUGACCCCCUUCUGACAAUAAAAAUUACUACAUGACCCCAUGAGGGGGGACCAAAGCCUAACCCCGCCACCCCAGGUGGGGGGCCAAUGCCCAAGGCCCAACCCCACCACCCCGGCAAGGGGGCCAAAACCAAACCGCAAGGGCUUAAUCCCCAUGUGGGGAGCAUGUAAUCUGAGCCUUGCCACCCAGGGCUGAAGCCCUCGGUCUCGGGCAGUGGAGCUCAGGCUUCGUCCCCAAGGCUCAAUGCCAGCCCUGGCAACCCACUUUGGGGUCCUGACCCACAGUUUGAGAACUGGUGGAUCCCUUCAGUGGCUGUCCAUGAAACAAAAUGUAGAACAGAAUGAGGAAAGUAAAUUGCUGGAGAGUAAGUUUCUUCAGUCAUAAUCUGGGACAGGAAAAAGAUGAAGGAACAUUUCCAUGUCCAAAAGGGCACAACAAUGGAAGCAUAUCUGUCAGCUCUUCAAGGAAAAAUACAAAUUAGGGCGAUCUGUAGUAUUCAAAAGGGACUGGGAAGAGGUGUUGCCAAGAACAUUUGGGAUUUUUUGUUUUGGCUAGAACACCCAAGCUACUAUUAAUUAAUAUUUGAAAUUUUGUGUAAAGUAAAAUGUUCCUUUGUUUUUCCUAUUCCUUUCCAUUUUCUCUUUCCAUUUUGCCUUUGACAGCCUGAUUCAUCUCUUCUUCCAUCGUUUACUACAAUUUUUAAACCAUAUUGAUAUUAUAAAAUUUUUUGUUCAUUUUGCCCCCACCUCCCACGAACUCUUUCUCCAAGACAUUUCGCUUUUCUGAUCUGGACUUUCACUAUCUAUUUUUGUUCAGUAUUAGUAGUGGCAGUAUUUGUUUAUUUUAGAACCAUCCAAGGUUCUUGCUCUUAUGAGCUCACAAUCUGAUUUUAUUCUUUCCUUUCCUCUAGUUCACACUCAAAGAGGUAGGGGGGAAAAAAAGGAGGAAGAGAGUGAGUGAAUCAUUAAGUCUAAAGAUUGUGGUGAGGGGAUACAGGGGAGGGAGCAACCAGGCUUGGGGCACAGAUUAGGGCCUGAGGCACAGCUACCAAAAUUGUGUGCAGUUCCAUUGGUGAAGUUUUAUACAAACCAUUUAAUAACCUAUUUUUUGGUUUGACAACUUAUUAGCAUAUAACUGUGAAUGCUGUCUUUUUUUUUUUUUUUUUUUUUUUUUUUUAAAGGGUGCAUUUAGUACUUGUGGAAUCCUGGUUAAUGAAGUCUUCUGUUUAUCCACAGGACAGUAUCAAGGUGAAUUUCCCAUACCCAGGGACUGAACCUGGAAUCUCUAGAUAUAAAACCUGGCAUCUCCACCAUUUGAGCUCAAGGACCCUUUGCAUUAGUAUGGAGAAGACUCAAACCUCUAUGUCAGUAGUUCUCAAACUGUGGUCCACUGGGCUCCAUUCAGGUGGUUUGCGGAUAGUUCCCGCUAAGGUGCAUGCCUGGGAAGCUGCACACGAGAGAGCGAAUGAAAGGCCAUCCACAUAUUUAGUAAAGCCACGCAUGUGUGUCUCCACUAAUUAGGUGCCUGGACCCUGGAGAAGACGCACAUGUAAGG